UUGCUCUAAUUUCUUUAGGAAUAGAAUUCCAAAGGUGUGCUCCGUCAUACACCUUUGGAAUUCUAUUCCUAAAGAAAUUAGAGAGAGC